UUUUUUAUAAGGUGUGAAACUCUAAUCUUAGUAGAUGCGGUUAAAUUUUUUGAGGGGAAACCUGAAAGGGAAGCUCGAAGAGGACAAUAUCUGCUAGGGGUGGGUUUGAGCUAUUACAAAUGGUAAUAGAGUCAGACACGGGGCG